AGACGAGUUAUCUGAACCUUCGGGGAACGAUAACGGCGUCNAGCGGCGGACGGGUGAGUAAUGCCUAGGAAAUUGCCCUGAUGUGGGGGAUAACCAUUGGAAACGAUGGCUAAUACCGCAUGAUGCCUACGGGCCAAAGAGGGGGACCUUCGGGCCUCUCGCGUCAGGAUAUGCCUAGGUGGGAUUAGCUAGUUGGUGAGGUAAGGGCUCACCAAGGCGACGAUCCCUAGCUGGUCUGAGAGGAUGAUCAGCCACACUGGAACUGAGACACGGUCCAGACUCCUACGGGAGGCAGCAGUGGGGAAUAUUGCACAAUGGGCGCAAGCCUGAUGCAGCCAUGCCGCGUGUGUGAAGAAGGCCUUCGGGUUGUAAAGCACUUUCAGUCGUGAGGAAGGUGGUGUAGUUAAUAGCUGCAUUAUUUGACGUUAGCGACAGAAGAAGCACCGGCUAACUCCGUGCCAGCAGCCGCGGUAAUACGGAGGGUGCGAGCGUUAAUCGGAAUUACUGGGCGUAAAGCGCAUGCAGGUGGUUUGUUAAGUCAGAUGUGAAAGCCCGGGGCUCAACCUCGGAAUAGCAUUUGAAACUGGCAGACUAGAGUACUGUAGAGGGGGGUA
rnacentral:rRNA from 1 species